rnacentral:rRNA from 1 species
AUUGAACGCUGGCGGCAGGCCUAACACAUGCAAGUCGAGCGAGCGGCAGACGGGUGAGUAAUGUAUGGGGCCUGCCCGAUAGAGGGGGAUAACUACUGGAAACGGUGGCUAAUACCGCAUACUAUCGGAUAACCCAUAUGGGAUUAGCUAGUAGGUGUGGUAAAGGCUAACCUAGGCGACGAUCUCUAGCUGGUCUGCGAGGAUGAUCAGCCAAAUGGGGACGGAGACACGGCCAAGACGCCGAGGGAGGAAGCAGUGGGGAAUAUUGCAAAAUGGGCGCAAGCCUGAUGCAGCCAUGCCGCGUGUAUGAAGAAGGCCUUAGGGUUGUAAAGUACGUUCAGCGGGGAGGCGUUACCCGCAGAAGAAGCACCGGCUAACUCCGUGCCAGCAGCCGCGGUAAUAC